UACGUAGGGUGCGAGCGUUAAUCGGAAUUACUGGGCGUAAAGCGUGCGCAGGCGGCUUUGCAAGACAGAUGUGAAAUCCCCGGGCUUAACCUGGGAAUGGCAUUUGGGACUGCAAGGCUGGAGUGCGGCAGAGGAGACUGGAAUUCCUGGUGUAGCAGUGAAAUGCGUAGAUAUCAGGAGGAAUACCGAUGGCGAAGGCAGGUCUCUGGGCUGACACUGACGCUCAUGCACGAAAGCGUGGGGAGCAAACAGG
rnacentral:rRNA from 1 species